ensembl:lncRNA
UCAUAACCACAGAAACUUCGAACGAAUGAAGACGCUGUUGCCCUGUUUCAUCCUUUUUUCCUGAUUUUCAGUUGUGCCCAUGGCCCUCUAGACGGAUAUCAGCGCAACAAAGAGUGGCUGGACCCAGGUACAGUACUGGUAUUAUGCACGCUCUACAUAGUUUUGUUGUAUUUGCUGUCUUUGAGUAAUUGUCUGGAUGCUUUGACAUGUGACCUUUGUGAUGAAAUUAUUUUUUCAUUCCCUGGCAAUCUCAUAACAUUCUGUUUACUGUUUAUGUUUGCUAUAAUUCAUAUGCAGGACAAUUUCAUGUGUGUUACCAUUAAAAAAAGGAAUUCUGUCUGUCUAUCUUCCUGUCUAUUUGUACAUUUUCCGUCUGUGUGUCUGUCUGCCUACCUGUCUUGGUCUUUGCAGGCUCAUUGGCAGCAGUAAAGUUGGAGAACAUAAUGAUGAGGACUGCCUUACUGAAAGAUGUUCGACAGCUGUCUCCAUAGCACCAGACCUUCUCCCUUGAGGCUUACCACUCCCUCAUCUUGCACUUCGCGCCCAAGCACACAGGGUUUUCAUACUUUGGGAUGUAUAGCAGGCUUCUCUUAGCGGCGCUGCAUUAUAAUCACAAUGCCAAUCGCGAGACAGCACGGAGAAGUGACGGGACGGAGAAGUACUGCGUGCGGUAUCCGCACUUCAGAAAAGGUGCCCAUGUGGUGCGUCCCAUGAAAGAGGCAGCCUCAUACGGUUAUGCAACAUCAUUAAUGAAGGCCCUUUGGGAGAGCUAUGCCAAUUCACCCGCGGUUCUUCGGGAGGUCAGCGCCAAUUUGUCCUCCCAUGCACCCGCCCCCCAUCGCCAAAUCCUUCGAACAGAUUCCGAAGGAGGAGUCCGUCAGCCUUUACCUAGCCCGGCAGUCACGCUUCAAGAAAACCUAAUUUCACAUUAUUAUUUUUUUCCACAGACAUGUCCAAUGAUUUAGUUGUAAGUAUUUAUUUUAGUUGUUAGUUAUCUUCUAACCUACUGUCCCUGUCAUCUCAUUUGGUGGUGGUUUCCUUCAUGCUGCAUGUUUUAUUUUUCUAUUUUUGUGCUUUGUUUUUUACUUUGCACAAAAUCAUUACUUUUUUUCGUCAAUAAGUGCCAAUAAUUGUCGCUGUGCCCCAUUCAAGGGGUCCUGCAUGCUGCAUGUCUGCUCCUCUGUCUGUGUGCUUGUUUUUUUUGUUGUUGUUAUUAUUUGCAUGAAAUUUCUUUGCAUGUAAUUCAAAAUAAUUUACCAAUCAUUAUACCUGUGCCUUGUCAACCUCUGUGUACGGUGUUGUCUGGGCUCACCUGGCCAACCUGUGUCAUGUUCAGUAACCAUUACAAGCAAUGCCAAUAAACCGUUUUUUUUUUAUCCAAAA